AUUGAACGCUGGCGGCAGGCCUAACACAUGCAAGUCGAACGAGUGGCGGACGGGUGAGUAAUGUCUUGGAAACUGCCUGAUGGAGGGGGAUAACUACUGGAAACGGUAGCUAAUACCGCAUACCAUCAGAUGUGCCGUGAGGGGAUUGGCUAGUUGGUGGGGUAACGGCGCACCAAGGCGAAGAUCCCUAGCUGGUCUGAGAGGAUGACCGGCCACACUGGAACUGAGACACGGUCCAGACUCCUACGGGAGGCAGCAGUGGGGAAUAUUGCACAAUGGGCGCAAGCCUGAUGCAGCCAUGCCGCGUGUAUGAAGAAGGCCUUCGGGUUGUAAAGUACUUUCAGCGGGGAGGCGGUACCCGCAGAAGAAGCACCGGCUAACUCCGUGCCAGCAGCCGCGGUAAUUC
rnacentral:rRNA from 1 species